rnacentral:rRNA from 1 species
CCUACGGGGGGCAGCAGUGGGGAAUAUUGCGCAAUGGGCGAAAGCCUGACGCAGCGACGCCGCGUGAGGGAUGAAGGUCUUCGGAUCGUAAACCUCUGUCAGCAGGGAAGAACGGUCACUGUGCUAAUCAGCAGUGAAUUGACGGUACCUGCAAAGGAAGCACCGGCUAACUCCGUGCCAGCAGCCGCGGUAAUACGGAGGGUGCGAGCGUUAAUCGGAAUUACUGGGCGUAAAGCGCUCGUAGGCGGUAUGUCAAGUCAAAGGUGAAAUCCCCGGGCUCAACGUGGGAACUGCCUUUGAAACUGGCAGACUGGAGUGUGGGAGAGGAUAGUAGAAUUCCAGGUGUAGCAGUGAAAUCCGUAGAUAUCUGGAGGAACAUCAGUGGCGAAGGCGACUAUCUGGCAAAUAACUGACGCUGAGGAGCGAAAGCGUGGGUAGCAAACAGGAUUAGAUACCCUAGUAGUC